UACGUAGGUGGCAAGCGUUGUCCGGAAUUAUUGGGCGUAAAGCGCGCGCAGGUGGUUUCUUAAGUCUGAUGUGAAAGCCCACGGCUCAACCGUGGAGGGUCAUUGGAAACUGGGGAACUUGAGUGCAGGAGAGAAGAGUGGAAUUCCACGUGUAGCGGUGAAAUGCGUAGAGAUGUGGAGGAACACCAGUGGCGAAGGCGACUCUUUGGCCUGUAACUGACACUAAGGCGCGAAAGCGUGGGGAGCAAACAGG
rnacentral:rRNA from 1 species